rnacentral:rRNA from 1 species
UACGUAGGGUGCAAGCGUUGUCCGGAAUUAUUGGGCGUAAAGCGCUCGUAGGCGGUUUGUCGCGUCUGCUGUGAAAACCCGAGGCUCAACCUCGGGCCUGCAGUGGGUACGGGCAGACUAGAGUACGGUAGGGGAGAUUGGAAUUCCUGGUGUAGCGGUGGAAUGCGCAGAUAUCAGGAGGAACACCAAUGGCGAAGGCAGAUCUCUGGGCCGUAACUGACGCUGAGACGCGAAAGCGUGGGGAGCAAGCAGG